rnacentral:rRNA from 1 species
UACAGAGGUCCCAAGCGUUGUUCGGAUUCAUUGGGCGUAAAGGGUGCGUAGGCGGCGCGGUAAGUCGGGUGUGAAAUCUCGGGGCUUAACUCCGAAACUGCAUUCGAUACUGCCGUGCUUGAGGACUGGAGAGGAGACUGGAAUUUACGGUGUAGCGGUGAAAUGCGUAGAUAUCGUAAGGAAGACCAGUGGCGAAGGCGGGUCUCUGGACAGUUCCUGACGCUGAGGCGCGAAAGCGUGGGGAGCAAACAGG